rnacentral:rRNA from 1 species
GACGAACCGAGCGAACGUUAUUCGGAAUCACUGGGCUUAAAGGGCGCGUAGGCGGGCCAUCAAGUCAGGGGUGAAAGCCCCCAGCUCAACUGGGGAAGUGCCUCUGAUACUGGUGGCCUCGAGGGAGGUAGGGGCGUGCGGAACUUCCGGUGGAGCGGUGAAAUGCGUAGAUAUCGGAAGGAACACCGGUGGCGAAAGCGGCGCGCUGGACCUCUUCUGACGCUGAGGCGCGAAAGCGUGGGUAGCAAACAGG